GGCCUAGUGGCGAAAGCAUCACCCCCGCAUUCGAUAUAGUAUGCAGGGCGCCCUCUUGGUAUUGCGGGAGUUCCUGGUUCGACUCCAGGCUAGGUCA